AUUGAACGCUGGCGGCAUGCCUUACACAUGCAAGUCGAACGGCAGCGGACCUUCGGGUGCCGGCGAGUGGCGAACGGGUGAGUAAUAUAUCGGAACGUACCUUUCAGUGGGGGAGUAACGUAGCGAAAGUUACGCUAAUACCGCAUAUUCUGUGAGCAGGAAAGCAGGGGAUCGCAAGACCUUGCGCUGAUUGAGCGGCCGAUAUCAGAUUAGCUAGUUGGUGAGGUAAAGGCUCACCAAGGCGACGAUCUGUAGCGGGUCUGAGAGGAUGAUCCGCCACACUGGAACUGAGACACGGUCCAGACUCCUACGGGAGGCAGCAGUGGGGAAUUUUGGACAAUGGGCGCAAGCCUGAUCCAGCCAUGCCGCGUGAGUGAAGAAGGCC
rnacentral:rRNA from 1 species